rnacentral:tRNA from 1 species
GCCGCCGAAGCGUAGUCAGCGACGCAUCCCGUUGGUAUCGGGAAGAGGAGGGUGCAUCUCCCUCCGGUGGCUCCA